rnacentral:rRNA from 1 species
UACAGAGGGGGCAAGCGUUGUUCGGAAUUACUGGGCGUAAAGGGCUCGUAGGCGGCCAACUAAGUCGGACGUGAAAUCCCUCAGCUUAACUGGGGAACUGCGUCUGAUACUGGAUGGCUUGGAUUUGGGAGAGGGAUGCGGAAUUCCAGGUGUAGCGGUGAAAUGCGUAGAUAUCUGGAGGAACACCGGUGGCGAAGGCGGCAUCCUGGACCAACAUUGACGCUGAGGAGCGAAAGCCAGGGGAGCAAACGGGG